GGAAGGGGAGAGAGGCAUUUCAUCCUUACCGGGACAUAGAGUUCGAAGAAGACCCGCCUCCUGCAGACCCGGAAUUCGACCCCUCGAGAGCGGCUCGGGCCGCACCGGCACCCGGCCGGUGCGAGGACGCAGGUGGCUCCUCUUUGUCCUUCAGAUCUUGCCUUCAAUGCCAACUCUUUAGGGAGGCCUUUCCUGACCGCCUUAUCCAAAGAAGCAUCCCCACUAGGGCAGAAUAAUGCCCCUCCUGCAAAGAUGGACGAGUCGUAAGCUCAGCACCCAGCAUGUACCGUCUGGCACAGAGGAGCCGUUCAACGUAUCGUGAGUGAAAUAGUGGAGUGAAAUAGCAUCUUAAUUUUCGUUGCACCAAUGUGAAGUCUGAAACAAAA